AGUGAACGCUGGCGGUAGACCUAACACAUGCAAGUCGAACGGCAGCACAGUAAGAGCUUGCUCUUACGGGUGGCGAGUGGCGGACGGGUGAGGAAUACAUCGGAAUCUACUUUUUCGUGGGGGAUAACGUAGGGAAACUUACGCUAAUACCGCAUACGACCUACGGGUGAAAGCAGGGGAUCUUCGGACCUUGCGCGAUUGAAUGAGCCGAUGUCGGAUUAGCUAGUUGGCGGGGUAAAGGCCCACCAAGGCGACGAUCCGUAGCUGGUCUGAGAGGAUGAUCAGCCACACUGGAACUGAGACACGGUCCAGACUCCUACGGGAGGCAGCAGUGGGGAAUAUUGGACAAUGGGCGCAAGCCUGAUCCAGCCAUACCGCGUGGGUGAAGAAGGCCUUCGGGUUGUAAAGCCCUUUUGUUGGGAAAGAAAAGCAGCAGGUUAAUACCCCGCUGUUCUGACGGUGCCCAAAGAAUAAGCACCGGCUAACUUCGUG
rnacentral:rRNA from 1 species